AGGACGAACGCUGGCGGCGUGCUUAACACAUGCAAGUCGAGCGGAAAGGCCCUUCGGGGUACUCGAGCGGCGAACGGGUGAGUAACACGUGAGCAACCUGCCCCUGGCUCUGGGAUAGCCUCCGGAAACGGGGAUUAAUACCGGACAUGACCACGGCCGACAUCUGCUGUGGUGGAAAGGAUUCCGGCUAAGGAUGGGCUCGCGGCCUAUCAGCUAGUUGGUGGAGUAACGGCCCACCAAGGCGACGACGGGUA
rnacentral:rRNA from 1 species